GGAUUGCCCUAGUAACGGCGAGUGAAGCGGCAACGGCUCAAAUUUGAAAUCUGGCCCCGGCGGGGUCCGAGUUGUAAUUUGCAGAGGAUGCUUCGGCGUCGGCCCCGGGCCAAGUCCCCUGGAACGGGGCGUCCUAGAGGGUGAGAACCCCGUACCCACCCGGGUGCCCUUCGCCGUGUGAAGCUCCUUCGACGAGUCGAGUUGUUUGGGAAUGCAGCUCUAAUCGGGAGGUAAAUUUCUUCCAAGGCUAAAUACCGGCCAGAGACCGAUAGCGCACAAGUAGAGUGAUCGAAAGAUGAAAAGCACUUUGGAAAGAGGGUGAAAAAGCACGUGAAAUUGUUGAAAGGGAAGCUCUUGCCGCCAGACUUGCCGCGGUUGCUCAGCCGCCCCCGCGGGGGUGGUGUACUCUCCCGUCGGCAGGCCAGCGUCGGUUCGGGCGGCCGGAUAAAGGCCCCGGGAAUGUAGCACCCCUCGGGGUGUGUUAUAGCCCGGGGGGUGCAAUGCGGCCAGCCCGGUCCGAGGGACGCGUUCGCGAGGACGCUGGCGUAAUGGUUGCAAGCGACCCGUCUUGAAACACGGACCAAGGAGUCUAACAUCUGUGCGAGUGUUUGGGCGUCAAACCCACGCGCGUAAUGAAAGUGAACGGAGGUGGGAACCCUCCCGAGGGGGGCGCACCAUCGACCGAUCCUGAUGUCUUCGGAUGGAUUUGAGUAAGAGCACGGCUGUUGGGACCCGAAAGAUGGUGAACUAUUCCCGGAUAGGGUGAAGCCAGGGGAAACCCUGGUGGAGGCUCGUAGCGGUUCUGACGUGCAAAUCGAUCGUCAAAUCUAGGAAUAGGGGCGAAAGACUAAUCGAACCA
rnacentral:rRNA from 1 species